rnacentral:rRNA from 1 species
AUUGAACGCUGGCGGCAUGCCUUACACAUGCAAGUCGAACGGCAGCAUGAUCUAGCUUGCUAGAUUGAUGGCGAGUGGCGAACGGGUGAGUAAUACAUCGGAACGUGCCCUGUAGUGGGGGAUAACUAGUCGAAAGAUUAGCUAAUACCGCAUACGACCUGAGGGUGAAAGUGGGGGACCGCAAGGCCUCAUGCUAUAGGAGCGGCCGAUGUCUGAUUAGCUAGUUGGUGGGGUAAAGGCCCACCAAGGCGACGAUCAGUAGCUGGUCUGAGAGGACGAUCAGCCACACUGGGACUGAGACACGGCCCAGACUCCUACGGGAGGCAGCAGUGGGGAAUUUUGGACAAUGGGCGAAAGCCUGAUCCAGCAAUGCCGCGUGUGUGAAGAAGGCCUUCGGGUUGUAAAGCACUUUUGUCCGGAAAGAAAUGGCUCUGGUUAAUACCCUGGGGUCGAUGACGGUA